CCCCCCCGGGCCGAGGGAGCCGGAGUCGAAGGGGGGCAGCGGCUCCGCAGCGGCCAGAGCCCGGCCCGUCGGGGCGCCUGUGCGCACCCACCGGCCGUGUGCGGAGUUUUUCGGGGCAUUCGUUUCAAACGAAUUUGGGAACGUCGGUGGCGGGUCCGUAAAGCCCCCCUGCGCCAGUCUCCCUCCCCCCCGAGCAGAAUUAGCACUCGGCCGCUCAACGCCCUGCCGCUGGCCGAUUCCUGCGGGAUUCAACCCGUGCUUGUUUGGAAACGAUUGCGUCCCGCUCUCCGCGCUUCCCGCUCAGCCGCAGCGGAGGAUGGGGCGCAGCUGGGGCCGCAGCGGACGGCCGCGGGGUGGGAGAGAGGAUCUGCUUCAAAAAUGCUCCUCCGAACAGACACGGCGAGGGAAGCACAGAUCCCGUCUCCCACCCCCGGGAAGCACGGAUCCCCUCUCCCAUCCCCGACCUCUGUGCUUACUCCGGGCGACUUUCGGAAGGGAGAAUCCGGCGCCGUCCCGCUCCCCUCGGCGGCCGGGGCCGUAGCAAAAGACAAAAGAGCUGCAGAGGUCUGGGCUCCCCUCCCGCCUCCGUGCUACCGCGUUCUGUCGCUGCACGUUUAUCGGGGAUCUACCUGACUCCGCUUCCUCUCCUUCCGUCUCAGAACCACAGCGGCGGAGGCUGAAUGGGAGCAGCUGUUCGCCCUAGCCGGAAAGGAGAUGUCAAAACCUGUUGCGUGGACGGAGCUCUGAGAAAAUCUCUUCUUAGCUCCCUAAAAUGUGAGUACGGACCCUACACGCAAGCCCCUCCGCGGGCGCUUUCACUUCGGGCGGCGGUGGCCGGGCGGCGUGUGUCGCCGCUUCCCAGAGCGACUGCAAAUUAGGGACAGCUGGAUCCCAAUGCUCUGUAACUGCUUUUAACUUUGGGGCAAGAAAAUUCUUCCUAUUAGUGCUAGAAGAGGGAGCAGAUACCGGCUGCUGAGCCCCGGCACGGGGCGAGUCAAGUUGCGAGGGAAUCAAACGAUCAGGCGAGGAGCUUUUCUGGCAUGUGCAAAAGAGCUCGUUCACUGCAGUUAUAUUUCAGAGCAAGAAGCAAUCGCCUGGUAACAUUUGCCCCCCGUCCGACGGGAACAUUUUGAGGGGUGUCUCCGUGCAGCCGCAGCCAAAGGCUUUUCUGGGCUGCCCCAAACUUGCUCCCGGCCCCGCUGUGCCCGGCGCAGGAGCCCCGGGUUCAUCCCGGUGCCGGCCAGGGAAGCGGUGUGACUGACCCCAGGACACCCUCAGCAGAGGUCUGGCCCCUCCGGGAAGUCGUUGCCGAGCACCAGGCAGCGUGCGGGACCGGCAGUGUCAGCGCAAGUGGCUGUGAAAUAGGAGGAAAAUAAAAAAGUCGUUUUUUUUCUCUCGUAACGCUCC
rnacentral:lncRNA from 1 species